AGCAUCCUGAGCUGGGUUUUGCCUGAUCCGCCUCAUUCUGCCAUGGGCUCCAGGAUCCUCUGCUUUGUGGCCUUCUGCCUCCUGCAAGCAGGCCCUGCAGACACAGCCGUUUCUCAGACUCCAAAAUAUCUCAUCACGCUGAUGGGAAAUAAAGAGUCACUUGAGUGUGAACAGAGACUGGGCCAUGAUACCAUGUACUGGUAUAAGCAGGACUCCAAACAAUUUCUGAAGUUAAUGUUUAGCUACAAUAAUAAGGAACUGAUUGUAAAUGAAUCAGUUCCAAAUCGCUUCUCACCUGAAUCUCCAGAUAAAGCUCAUUUAAAGCUUCACAUCAAAUCUCUGGAACCAGGCGACUCUGCUGUGUAUCUUUGUGCCAGUACUCAAGACACAGUCCUGCAGAGUCACUGCCUUCCUGUGCAUAAACCUCCUGGCUCAGCCAGGAAGUUCUGGGGGCAAUGUGUUAACCAGUGCCCUGAGACUCUGCUCUGUAUUUCCUAUUGA